GACGCUUUGGUGGAGUGGUUAACACGUAUCCCUGCUAAGGAUAUCCUCUCUGAGGGCGUGAGUUCGAAUCUCACAGGCGUCG
rnacentral:tRNA from 6 species